rnacentral:rRNA from 1 species
UACGUAGGCAGCGAGCGUUGUUCGGAAUUACUGGGCGUAAAGCGCACGUAGGCGGACAUUUAAGUCAGGGGUGAAAUCCCAGAGCUCAACUCUGGAACUGCCUUUGAUACUGGCGACCUAGAGUCCGGAAGAGGUUAGUGGAAUUCCCAGUGUAGAGGUGAAAUUCGUAGAUAUUGGGAAGAACACCAGUGGCGAAGGCGGCUAACUGGUCCGGUACUGACGCUGAGGUGCGAAAGCGUGGGGAGCGAACAGG